UACGUAGGGGGCUAGCGUUGUCCGGAAUCAUUGGGCGUAAAGAGCGUGUAGGCGGCCCGGUAAGUCCGCUGUGAAAGUCGGGGGCUCAACCCUCGAAAGCCGGUGGAUACUGUCGGGCUAGAGUGCGGAAGAGGCGAGUGGAAUUCCUGGUGUAGCGGUGAAAUGCGCAGAUAUCAGGAAGAACACCCGUGGCGAAGGCGGCUCUCUGGGACGGUACUGACGCUGAGGAGCGAAAGCGUGGGGAGCGAACAGG
rnacentral:rRNA from 1 species